GUUGUCUCACAAGUCACAACAUCCGGCCCCUCAACAUGGCUUCUGCUUUCCUUACCUGCUUCAGGGGUCCAAUGAUGAAAACCUGAUCAAAUGAGAAGAUUGGUGUUAUACAUAUCAGAUCAACAUCCCUCAACCUGCAGGCAGGCAGGCAGUUUAACAAGUGCAGACGAUUACUAUAGGAUCCUUUUCGAAUAAAAUGUUUUGAAAGGAUAAACUGAGACUCAUCCGGAGCUGGCCUUGGAGUGAGGACAGAAAACCUUGGGCCAGAAGUAUGAGGCUCUUGUCUCGCAAGACUUGGCCUCAAGCAUCCAGACAUGCGCCGUGAACAAGCCCAACACCCAAUGUGGCUCAUCCCAUCUUUUCUCCGCAAUUAGGUGUAAUUAGCCUAGAUCUACAAAUUUCUUCACUAAUCCUGGACUCGCUAUUCUAAAGUUUAAAACUUGGUUGCAUCUAAAACCAAAAAUACAAUAAUGACAAGAGUGGUCCAUUUUUUUUCCUUCUAAUAACCAUGGUAUCUGGACUAGCUUGCGCCUCAACUAAUUCCUGGGGAAAUUGCUACCUCGCUUCUCAUCAUCACUAGUAUUGGGUAGCUCUGGUCACCAAUGCUUGGACAAAUGUGAAGAAUUCAUCUAGACUACUGUUUUAGCCUCUGCUGAGGCUCGAAUUAUAGUACUAAACAUAUUUCAAGAAACAAAAAUUCUCCUUCACAUAUAAAAGUGUAUGGCUUGUUUUUUACCA